rnacentral:rRNA from 1 species
UACGUAGGGCGCAAGCGUUGUCCGGAAUUAUUGGGCGUAAAGAGCUCGUAGGCGGUGUGUCGCGUCGGAUGUGAAAGCCCGGGGCUUAACUCCGGGUCUGCAUUCGAUACGGGCAGACUAGAGUGUGGUAGGGGAGAUCGGAAUUCCUGGUGUAGCGGUGAAAUGCGCAGAUAUCAGGAGGAACACCGGUGGCGAAGGCGGAUCUCUGGGCCAUUACUGACGCUGAGGAGCGAAAGCGUGGGGAGCGAACAGG